UUCCCGGUUGAUCCCGGGCGGAGGUCACUGCUAUCAGUGUUCGACUAAGCCAUGCGAGUCAAAUGUUCUUCGUGAACAUGGCGUACUGCUCAGUAACACGUGGACAACCUGCCCUAAGGUCUGGCAUAACUCCGGGAAACUGGGGAUAAUUCCAGAUGAAUCAUAGAUACUGGAAUGUUCUGUGAUUAAAAGCUCCGGCGCCUUAGGAUGGAUCUGCGGCCUAUCAGGUAGUAGUGGGUGUAAUGUACCUACUAGCCUACGACGGGUACGGGUUGUGAGAGCAAGAGCCCGGAGAUGGAUUCUGAGACAUGAAUCCAGGCCCUACGGGGCGCAGCAGGCGCGAAAACUUUACAAUGCGGGAAACCGCGAUAAGGGGACACUGAGUGCCAGCACCAUGUGUUGGCUGUCCGCAUGUAUAAAUCACAUGUGUCAGCAAGGGCCGGGCAAGACCGGUGCCAGCCGCCGCGGUAACACCGGCGGCCCGAGUGGUGGCCAUUAUUAUUGGGUCUAAAGGGUCCGUAGCCGGUUUGAUCAGUCUUCCGGGAAAUCUGACAGCUCAACUGUUAGGCUUCUGGGGGAUACUGUCAGACUUGGAACCGGGAGAGGUAAGAGGUACUACAGGGGUAGGAGUGAAAUCUUGUAAUCCUUGUGGGACCACCAGUGGCGAAGGCGUCUUACCAGAACGGGUUCGACGGUGAGGGACGAAAGCUGGGGGCACGAACCGGAUUAGAUACCCGGGUAGUCCCAGCCGUAAACGAUGCUCGCUAGGUGUCUGGGAUGGUGCGACCGUUUCAGGUGCCGCAGGGAAGCCGUGAAGCGAGCCACCUGGGAAGUACGGCCGCAAGGCUGAAACUUAAAGGAAUGGGCGGGGAGACAC
rnacentral:rRNA from 1 species